GGAAAUGGUGCGGGGCCAGCGUGCUGCAGUUGGCAUGUCGGGCACGGUGCCGGCGUGCCAGGGACGGCCGCCUGGGCCGGGACAGCGGUUCGUGGUCGCAUGGGGCCUGCGGGCAUGCGGGCCGCGGCCACACGGUGGCCGACGUGCCUCGACCGGCAUGCCAUUGACGGCCGCUUGGGUCGGGAUAGCGGGCUUGCAUCCCGGGGCCUGCGUCUAGGACCGACAUGCUGGGCA
rnacentral:lncRNA from 1 species